CUCCGUCAAUGAACGCGAAUGGAUUUAACUUUUUUUAGGUGUCCUUAGCUCUGCCAGAAUGCUAAACGAAGACGAAAAUGUGUUGCAAAGACAUCCAAAAGGUUUUAAGGAGAAUGCAACAGGUUCCAGGGCCUCUUACCUGCGUGAUUCAUCAUCCAGGUUUUGCACAAAUUGUCUAAAUCCCUACACACAGAACAUUUAUUGUACCGACUAUAAGCCUUUGAGGUGCAGGACUAGAAUACGCUUGGAGCUUCCUGAUCAGAUCGGUCACAAUUUUGGCUUUCGACGACCCCUGCACUGAAGAUGGCAUCCAAUCACGUCCUCCUUUGAAGGUCUCUCAAACUGUGAUGCCAGGUCCAUUGGAAUCGGGGUUUCCUUCAGCUUAUCUUCAAAUACCUCAUCAAACACAAGCCUGAUCACAUCAUCCACAUAACUGUAGAAAUAUUGCAGUCAAUAAAUCUUUUGUUUUGAUCAUUUAAUUCCCUGCUUCAUACAUUAAGUUUUUAAUUAUGAAUGUAUUUGAAAUAAAACAUUACUGCUUACGGUAUGUCACUUGUGUGUUUUGGGAACAUAGCCUUGUACUUUCCCUCUCUUGCUUUUGUUACGGCUUGGUGACAUUGUAAUGGAUGGCUGCAAGGUAC